rnacentral:rRNA from 1 species
AUGAAUAUUGUCACGGGGGCCAUGGGCACCCUGAUCCCCAAGCUGGGCGAGCUGCUCAUGGAGGAGUACAAGCUGCACAAGCGCGUCAAGAAAGAUGUCGAGUUCCUCAGGAAGGAGCUUGAGAGCAUGCACGCUGCCCUCAUCAAAGUUGGCGAGGUGCCGCAGGACCAGCUCGACAGGCAAGUCAAGCUCUGGGCCGACGAUGUGAGAGAGCUCUCCUACAACAUGGAGGAUGUCGUCGGCAAGUUCCUUGUACACGUCGACGGCGACGGCACUCAGCAGCCGCACGACAACUCCGGCAGAUUCAAGGAGCUCAAGAACAAGAUGAUCAGCUUGUUCAAGAAAGGCAAGAAUCACCAUCGCAUAGCUGACGCAGUCAAGGAAAUCAAGGAGCAACUCCAGGAGGUGGCUGCUAGGCGUGACAGGAACAAGGUAGUUGUUCCUAAUCCUACGGAACCAAUUGUUAUCGAUUCUUGCCUUCAAGCUUUGUACGCAGAAGCGACAGAGCUAGUUGGCAUAUAUGGGAAGAGGGAUCAGGAGCUCAUGAGCUUGCUCUCCAUGGAGGGUGAUGAUGCCUCUAACAAGAGACUGAAGAAGGUCUCCAUUGUUGGAUUUGGAGGGUUGGGCAAAACCACUCUUGCUAGAGCAGUGUACGACAAGAUUAAAGGUGAUUUCGAUUGUCGGGCAUUUGUUCCCGUCGGUCAGACCCCUGACAUGAAGAAGGUUUUAAGGGAUAUCCUCAUUGAUCUCGGCAACUCUCACUCAGAUCUUGCGAUACUGGAUGCAAAUCAGCUUAUUAAAAAGAUUCAUGAAUUCCUAGAGAACAAGAGGUAUCUUGUCAUAAUUGAUGAUAUAUGGGAUGAAAAGUUGUGGGAAGGCAUCAACUUUGCUUUCUCCAACAAGAAUAAUCUAGGCAGUCGGCUAAUCACCACAACCCGCAAUUUCGAUGUCUCCAAAUCAUGUUGCUUAUCGGCUGAUGAUUCAAUAUAUAAAAUGAAACCUCUUUGUACUGAUGAAUCCAGAAGGCUCUUCCAUAAGAGAAUAUUUCCUGAUGCUAGUGGAUGCCCAAGUGAAUUUCAACAAGUGUCUGAAGAUAUAUUGAAGAAAUGUGGUGGGGUACCACUGGCCAUCAUUACUAUUGCUAGUGCUUUGGCUAGUGGCCAGGAGGUGAAACCAAAGAGAAUGGGAUAUUCUGCUCCAGUCCCUUGGCUGUGGACUAACAAAAGAUAA